AGAGUUUGAUCAUGGCUCAGGAUGAACGCUAGCUACAGGCUUAACACAUGCAAGUCGAGGGGAAACGACAUCGAAAGCUUGCUUUUGAUGGGCGUCGACCGGCGCACGGGUGAGUAACGCGUAUCCAACCUGCCCACCACUUGGGGAUAACCUUGCGAAAGUAAGACUAAUACCCAAUGACGUCUCUAGAAGACAUCUGAAAGAGAUUAAAGAUUUAUCGGUGAUGGAUGGGGAUGCGUCUGAUUAGCUUGUUGGCGGGGUAACGGCCACCAAGGCGACGACCAGUAGGGGUUCUGGAGAGGAAGGUCCCCCANAUUGGAACUGAGACACGGGUCCAAACGUCCUACGGGAGCA
rnacentral:rRNA from 1 species